GACGGGCACGGUGGAGUAUGCCUGUAGUCCCAGCUACUCGGGAGGCUGAGGUGGGAGAAUCACUUGAGCCCAGGAGUUCUGGGCUGUAGUGCACUAUGCGGAUCGGGUGUCCGCACUAAGUUCGGCAUCAAUAUGGUGACCUCCUGGGAGCGGGGGACCACCAGGUUGCCUAAGGAGGAGUGAAACGGAGCAGGUCAAAACUCCCAUGCUGAUCAGUAGUGGGAUCGUGCUUGUGAAUAGCCACUGCACUCCAACCCGGACAACAUUGUAAGACCCCAUCUUU
rnacentral:SRP_RNA from 1 species